rnacentral:rRNA from 1 species
UGGGGAAUUUUGGACAAUGGGCGAAAGCCUGAUCCAGCAAUGCCGCGUGUGUGAAGAAGGCCUUCGGGUUGUAAAGCACUUUUGUCCGGAAAGAAAUCCUUGGCUCUAAUACAGUCGGGGGAUGACGGUACCGGAAGAAUAAGCACCGGCUAACUACGUGCCAGCAGCCGCGGUAAUACGUAGGGUGCAAGCGUUAAUCGGAAUUACUGGGCGUAAAGCGUGCGCAGGCGGUUUGCUAAGACCGAUGUGAAAUCCCCGGGCUCAACCUGGGAACUGCAUUGGUGACUGGCAGGCUAGAGUAUGGCAGAGGGGGGUAGAAUUCCACGUGUAGCAGUGAAAUGCGUAGAGAUGUGGAGGAAUACCGAUGGCGAAGGCAGCCCCCUGGGCCAAUACUGACGCUCAUGCACGAAAGCGUGGGGAGCAAAACAGGAUUAGAUACCCUGGUAGUCCACGCCCUAAAACGAUGUCAACUAGUUGUUGGGGAUUCAUUUCCUUAGUAACGUAGCUAACGCGUGAAGUUGACCGCCUGGGGAGUACGGUCGCAAGAUUAAAACUCAAAGGAAUUGACGGGUCAUAGCUGUUUCCU